CUAAAUUCUAAGUUAAAAAUUCUAUUUUCCAAUUAAAAACUUAUAUCUCCAAAAUAUUUUUGUGCCAAAGAAGAAGCACAUAAAUAUAGGACAUUUUAUCUGCUUUUUCAUCUUAUUAUCACAUCAAUCAGAAGCCUGUACCAUAGCUGAAAAAUAUAUCAGAAGACACAGACCAUAAAAGAUGAAUUUGUAGCAAAGCACACUGCAAUGAGGGAGACAAAACUAAAGAGCUAUUCCAGCCUGUGACAUCUGUAGCUUCAGAAAAUAGUAAGCACAGUAGAAUUAUUAUUCAGAUAAAAAUAAUACCUGGC
rnacentral:lncRNA from 1 species